GUGUCAGCAGCCGCGGUAAUACGUAGGUGGCAAGCGUUGUCCGGAAUUACUGGGUGUAAAGGGCGUGUAGGCGGGGGAGCAAGUCAGAUGUGAAAUUCCUAGGCUUAACCUGGGCGCUGCAUCUGAAACUGUUUCUCUUGAGUGCUGGAGAGGAAAGUGGAAUUCCUAGUGUAGCGGUGAAAUGCGUAGAGAUUAGGAGGAACACCAGUGGCGAAGGCGGCUUUCUGGACAGUAACUGACGCUGAGGCGCGAAAGCGUGGGGAGCAAACAGGAUUAGAUACCCUGGUAGUCCACGCUGUAAACGAUGGAUACUAGGUGUGGGAGGUAUCGACCCCUUCCGUGCCGGAGUUAACACAAUAAGCACUCCGCCUGGGGAGUACGGCCGCAAGGCUAAAACUUAAAUAAAUUGACGG
rnacentral:rRNA from 1 species